rnacentral:rRNA from 1 species
AGUGAACGCUGGCGGUAGGCCUAACACAUGCAAGUCGAACGGCAGCACAGUAAGAGCUUGCUCUUACGGGUGGCGAGUGGCGGACGGGUGAGGAAUACAUCGGAAUCUACUUUUUCGUGGGGGAUAACGUAGGGAAACUUACGCUAAUACCGCAUACGACCUACGGGUGAAAGCAGGGGAUCUUCGGACCUUGCGCGAUUGAAUGAGCCGAUGUCGGAUUAGCUAGUUGGCGGGGUAAAGGCCCACCAAGGCGACGAUCCGUAGCUGGUCUGAGAAGAUGAACAGACACACUGGAAAAUAGACACGGGUCAGACUCCUAAGGGGGGCAAGAAGUGGGAAUAUUGGACAAAGGGGCGAAACCUGGACCAGCCAUACCGGGUGGGUGAAGAAGGGCUUCCGGUUGUUAAAGCCUUUUGUUUGGAAAAAAAAACCACAAGGUUAUACCCCGCUGUUCUGACGGUGCCCAAAAGAUAAACACCGGGUAAAUUGCUU